AUUGAACGCUGGCGGCAUGCCUAACACAUGCAAGUCGAACGGUAGCAGGUCCUUCGGGAUGCUGACGAGUGGCGGACGGGUGCGUAACGCGUGGGAAUCUGCCCAAUAGUGGGGGAUAACCCGGGGAAACCCGGGCUAAUACCGCAUACUCCCUACGGGGGAAAGUGGGGGACCGCAAGGCCUCACGUUAUUCGAGCGGCCGACGUCUGAUUAGCUAGUUGGUGGGGUAAAGGCCUACCAAGGCGACGAUCAGUAGCGGGUCUGAGAGGAUGAUCCGCCACACUGGGACUGAGACACGGCCCAGACUCCUACGGGAGGCAGCAGUGGGGAAUUUUGGACAAUGGGGGCAACCCUGAUCCAGCCAUUCCGCGUGAGUGAAGAAGGCCUUCGGGUUGUAAAGCUCUUUCAGCUGGAACGAAACGGUACGCGCUAACAUCGUGUGCUAAUGACGGUACCGGCAGAAGAAGCACCGGCUAACUACGUG
rnacentral:rRNA from 1 species